UAUCUGUAGCUUUAUCCAUUACUCCUACAGCUGGCAACAAUCACAGUUCAUUAAACUAAAGUCUCUGUGUCACUCCACAUGCUCUCUCCUAAAUCAUCUAUUGCUGAUACGGAGCUUUCUUUUUUAAGUGACAAAUUCCAAUAUACCUUAACUAGAUAGGGGCAAAACGUGAUAGCCCAAAGAGGUCACAAGCAGCAGUCUCAAACUACAUGGCUACUUGGCCAAAGUUCUUCUGUCAUAGAAUGGUUACAGGAUUGACAUCCAAAAAGCAAUUGGGGUUGUCACACACAACUGGACAAAUUCAGGCUCUAAACUGAGGAGUGGAGAUAAAUGGGGCUGUUUGAAAUUAAGAUUUUACAUCAUGAAAGCAGAUUUCUUUCACAACAUAAAUAUUCUGGGAGGGAAAAAAAUAAUGUGACUUUUUUCAAACACCCUCUUCCCCUUGUAAACACGAAAGAAUAUUUUCUAAUUCUGUAUUAAGCUGUGAUUUAAUGCUGUUGACUUCAGCUCUCAGUGCCUUCUCUCAUAGCGAACCUGGAUUUUUUUCUUUGGCUUAACUGCCCACCACUGCACAUCUGACUAGGGUCCUUAAUGUUCACUUUUAUGUGUUAAGUUUGGAUGUCAGCAUAAAUACUAAAUCCACAUCUAACUAAAAAUAAAUAAAAUGAAUGGCCAGUGUGUAUUGGACAUGCUCUCAAGAUGUUUGGAUUCAGACAUUAUAUUACCUAACUAGAAAAUUUCGACCAAAGUUCAAAUGCAAUUUUGUUUUAUGCCAGUAUUUUCCAACCUACUUUCCUUAAAAUAUGUGAGAUAUUUUAUACUGCCAGAAAGUUUUGUUUGAGAAUUGUUGCUUACAUGCCUCUCUUAGAAAUUCCUUAUAUAUAUAUCAGUCAGCUAAAUACUCCAAAGUUACGUAGAAGGUAGUAACUUUCUUUAACUUACUGUUCCCCAAAAUUAUUUAACAAGGGAACACCUAUAGUUUAAUUUUUGUGGGAAUUAUAAUAUAAGGUUUCCGACCCUCUGAUAGAGUUUGAAAAAUAAUAUUCUAUACCUUUCUUUUUCAAUCCCAUUAAGGUGGAAUUGAACUCCAGACUCUACUCUUUCAUCAAUGAUUCCUCCAACAUAUUCUUAAAUGCAUAUUUAUAUUUUAAAUACAAACAACUUCCUUAUUAGCAGAGACCUAUUUUAGGUGUGACCUGGGAAAGGAUUAACUACAAUUCCUUUUUCUUCUGAAUCUUCCUUUAGAGAAUUUGUGGGCAAACGGCUUCCUCAUUUUGAUGGUGAGCAAGCAGAAAGUACUUGUUUAAUUGAAUCAAAGUAUACCAACAUCAGAAACUUCUAUUUCCUACGAUAAAAAGUAUUUCAAAGGGCAAAAAGGUGGGUGAGAUUAUUUUUUUCCUUCACUUUUGCACAUUCUGUUUAAAGAGUAUCUGCCAUGGCAAAAAAGACAAAGACAUUAAGACAUUUUAUUUGUUAAUUAUUUUUAUUUGCAAGUCCUUGUACUCUAAAUGCUGAACUGUCCCAACUACAUAGGUGUCUCUGGAGAUGUGAAUUAACAGAGAAUUUAGGCAGCAGACACUGGAAUGUGCGUGCUCUAGCCUUUCUUUUGGGGAAAAAAAAGAGAGAAAGAAAGUACAUAGAUUCAUAAUACUUUCCCUUGAUAAAUAUUAGCUUUUUUUUCCUUUUCUCUUCACCCUUUCCUCCAUUCCACUCUCUCCUUUUCAAUAUAACUUGAACUUCUCUUUUAAUUUUGCUAAGUAUGAUUUUGCUUUCACUGUUUCAGAUAGCAUCACAGAAUUGUAGAGUCCUCCAAACCCAAAUCCUUCCUUCUAACACUGCCUGCCCUUUAUUACAUGAGUCUCAUGUAUCGUGAAGAUACUUUGGUUAAGUAGAGACAUUCUCAGGGUUCCAGUCCCUAUUUUAAAGGUACAGGACAGCAUAGGGAGAAUAGGUGAUGUAUGCAUUGCCAAACAGAGAAUUUCCAACUUCCCUGGAAAAUGGAGCCAUUUUUCUCUAUUCAUUCAGGCAAACUUUUUUUUUUUUUUCUCCAUCUGUUUUUGCCCUCAACCUUGUAUCCAGGGUCUAAUACAUUUAGAUGCUUUAGGCUCACACACACACACACACACACACACACACACACACACCCUUUUACAUCAUUGCAGCACUAUCCUUAAAUUUUUUUAAACAUUUAAUUAGCAUUUGUACCAGGUCAAUGCUAGUUUCCCUGUUAUGCAAACCCACACCCAUGCUAAGAGUCUCUAGGGUUAGGAACACAGUGAUGAUAUGACUGUUUGGUUUCGGUGUUUGUGUACAAGGAGCCCCAGGUCAUUUCCAGAGAAAAUGAGAGAUUCUGAGGACAGCUUCACCAAGGAAAAUAAGUCUUUUUUUAUGACAAAGAAAAAGAGAAACCACAAUAAAGGGUCAAGGGAAUAUGGAAUAUCAAAAAUAGGCAAUGAAUCAACUCUCCAUUCAGUCAAGAGAAUUAUAAAGCUAAACUUGGAAUGCAUUGAAUAAGUGGUUUUAUGAGAACUCGGUGCUUAGGGAGAGGGAGUACAUCCAGAUAAGGAGAUGUAAUAUCUAGAUGACAGCUCCUUAAAAUUUAGCUGAUGCUGGGCUAACUCUCCCAGUUCCAAGACUGUGCACAUCCAGGGCUGCUUCUGUGACUUCUGUAAAUUUUCCUCUUCUUCUGGGCUCAGUCUCUCUACUUUGGCCCCUGCCCAGCAGAGAGAUGACAUUCAACCCUUCCCAGAUUCUCACCAAACAUUUCCUCCCAUCCUGAGAGAUGAUGAAUGGAUGGGACCCAGUGUAUGGGGGUUUACAUUAAAGCAGCACAAACACUUCCAAAUCAAACUUUAAGAAGGCCCAACUUAAAUACUUAAAUAUCCUUUAUUAUACAGAGACAACCUCCUGUUCUGCGCCCCACCUGCCCCAGAAAUCAUGGGGGCAUUUCCACCUGCCCUUUCAGCCAUGUAGUUCCUGAACACUCGCCAUGUCACCGCUUCCCUUUUUGGCAUCAACCUCAUCCCACUACCUGCCCUCUCCUCUUUAGCACUAGCAACUGCUUUUCACUUUCUCAAGCUGAGGGAGAGAGCCCUCUCUUACAUGCCCAGACCCUCAAGGUCUCACUUUCCAUCCCAAGCAGCUGACAGUGGGUUUUUCCUUCCAUAGUGGGAUUCUGGGGUCACAUCUUUACAGGGGGAAUCUCACCAUGUUACAGUCUUGUCCAGAACCACUCAGGGCUUCUCUCUCAGAGGUACUGCCACUUAGAAACCAACUUUGUGGGAAGUUAUUUAUUAAACUCAGGUGCUCAAUUAGAGGGAGUCUUUUUCUGUUCCCCUAAAAGUUUGAAACUUUAUUAAAUUAGAUGCAAAAAUUAGGAUGUGAAACUUGCCCCCUCCACCAGUGAGUCUUAUCCCCAGGGAGACCACUCACUGCCUUGCAUCAACAUAAAAACAGGUGGGUUAAGAGACCACAAGCUUAACAGCUAAUUAGUCCAAGUCUGAAUUCUGGCUCAGCUCUUAAUCUCUGGGUACCUCCGUUUCCUCAUCUGUAAAAUAGGAGAACCCACUUUGUUGUACCGGGGAAAAAAAAUGAAUUGAUAUGCAUGGAAAAAAUGCUUAACACCAGUAAAUGUGAGCUGGUUUUGUGUUAACUUGGCCAAAUGACAAAGGCUGGGGAAAGGCUGGGCAGAGCAUAGACAGACGGUGGCAACAGAGCUCGUUUGGCAGAAAUUUUCCCCGUGGAAGGCAGAAGAGAUAGGUGAUGUUGCUAUUGUAAGAGUUUGGAAAACUCCGCUCAGGAAUUAGCCCUUUUGGCAGGCCUCUGGCUGUAAACACUUAUAGGUGGAAAUCCUAAAGAAAAGCUAGGUGUUUCUCUGCCCCAGUAUUUUGCAUCUAUCUGGGCCUUUUUGUUUAUUUGUUUAAGGAUUUAUUUUAUGAGCAAAUUUGCAUAUUUUCAUAAAUAGACCCAGUUUCCAUUGAAACGGAUUUCUGUUCUCCGCAUGUUAUAUUCCUAUAUUUUCUGAACAAAGUGCAUUUAAAAAUCUGAGGGAAAAAAGUAAAAAGCAUGAUUUGCAUGCUUAACAUAGGGCUUGCUCACGCUCUCAAGAAUGCCUGUUUUGUAAUCUCAUAUCCAUGGAGUGCCUUACACAUAGUACGUGUUCAAUAAUUACUAGCUGGUUUGAUGUUCAUCUAAAAAAAACAAAACUGAAAGAUCAUUUUAAAGGACUGGCACUUCCACACAGGUUAGCAGUAUGUAGCAGCAACAACAACAAUUUAGAUAAGUUUUCCAUCCAAUUCUAAAGGGACUUAAUCACUUGGUUUCAUAUGUUAAUUUGCUGCACUUCUAACCACACAGGAGUCUUAGAUCUGGAAGUAACCAGUGAGAAAAGAAUAUACUUGUUCUCUUUUUCAAGUGUCCUAGGAUAAAUUGCAUUCUACUUACUGGUGCCAGAAGAAAUCAAUACAAACCAUAAGAGUAAAAAUAUUCAUUAUUUGUGAAGAAAAAAGAAGCAACACAACAAAACAACAAAAGCAUGACCCUGGGAAACCACAGAGAGAAAUUUACAAAGCAUACCAGGAUCAAGCUGCGUAAUUCCAGAAGCACCAUUUUCAGAAACAUGUGAACUGUCCCCUGGAAUUGCUUAAAAGGUGGCCUUGAAGACCCCUUUUGGUGUCAAAAAUUUUAAAUGAUUUGCUUUAUGGUCACAAAUGGUCCAUUCAUUUUCCUGUGCCAGUGUUUAUGUGGGGUGAUCACAUUUAAAAUAACUUUUUUUAGUACUAUGUGCAUAUUAAUGAAUGAAUUAAUAUUAAUAUUCAUAUUAAUUAUGAAUAUUAAUUUAUUUGAUUUUUACCAAAAAACCCCCAUGAGAUAGGUACUUAUGUCCAUUUUACAGAUGAGAAGACUAAAGCCAGAAAUGUAACUCACCCAAGGUUAUACAGCUAGUAAGUAGUGGAGCAAGGGUUCAGAUGUAUCUGGUCAGGUUCUAGUGUCUGAGGUUGUACAGUGCUGCCUGAUUUGUCUGGCCCUAGUACAUGCCAGGGCACCUUGGUAUUCAUGGCUAUUAUGGUUUAUGCCAACAUUUCCUGGCUGGGUAUACGAAGCAUGAGCUUUUGAUUAGAAUUUUAGGGAGAAUAUGCAAGAGACUUCUCUCUCCCUGGAGACUCUGAGCAUGUCUGACUGCUUACAGAGAACUCUGAAAAACCACUCACUGAACAAAUUCAUAAAAAUUUGAUAUUAAGCCUUUUUAACAUCCCACUGGGAAUUCUUAGAAACCAAGGACAAAAAGACUGGAAUCUCCAAGACAGCUGUGUAAAAUCCAGAGCCCUGAAGCUUUCUAUUUAAGUGCUGAGAUUUGGGGAUUCUCUUAAGGCCUGGAGUGCCUCUUGGACCCAGCAGAAAGUCAGCCAACAUAUCUGCAUGGUUGUCUCCAGCCCAGAUGGUUUAGGCUUGACCAAGAGGCCUCAUUCAUACUCUGGAUUUUAAGAUGUCAUACCCUAUGUCUCAACUCCCAUGUCCCCUUUGUGGGGAAAUUAGAAAAAAAAAAAUCAUCAUGAUUGUUAGGCACUUUGAGAUUUUCUGUUGGAUGCUUCCUUGUGAAUGUAAGGCAGUCAUUUUUACUUUUUAAAAAAUUGUUUUAUUUUUUUAAGUUUUUUUGAAGUAUAAUUUUCAAGGUUGUGAUCAUUUCUGCUGUACUACAAAGUGACCUAGUCAUACAUAAAGACAUAUUCAUUCUUUUUACUUUAAAAUCAUCUGAUUAUUCCCAGAUUGGUAAUUUUGCCCCAUUAGAAAAUCUUUGAUAAUCAGUGGUAUUUCUUUUAAGAGUAGUUUCCAGGAGUUCCUGCUGUGGCACAAUGUGAUCGGCAGCAUCUUUGGAGUGCAGGGACGCAGGUUGGAUCCCUGGCCAAGUACAGUGAGUUAAGGAUCCAGUGUUGCCGCAACUGCGGCAUAGGUCGCAACUGCUGCUUGGAUCUGAUUCCUGGCCCAGGAACUCCAAAUGCCAUGGGGUGGCC
rnacentral:lncRNA from 1 species